GGAGAGUUACCCAAGUUCGGCUGAAGGGGACGGUCUCGAAAACCGUUAGGGCGCUCUGCGUCGCAAGGGUUCAAAUCCCUUACUCUCCG
rnacentral:tRNA from 1 species